rnacentral:rRNA from 1 species
CCUACGGGAGGCAGCAGUGAGGAAUAUUGGUCAAUGGGCGCGAGCCUGAACCAGCCAAGUAGCGUGAAGGAUGACUGCCCUACGGGUUGUAAACUUCUUUUAUAAGGGAAUAAAGUGCGGCACGUGUGCCUUUUUGCAUGUACUUUAUGAAUAAGGAUCGGCUAACUCCGUGCCAGCAGCCGCGGUAAUACGGAGGAUCCGAGCGUUAUCCGGAUUUAUUGGGUUUAAAGGGAGCGUAGGCGGGUUGUUAAGUCAGUGGUGAAAGUUUGCGGCUCAACCGUAAAAUUGCAGUUGAUACUGGCAGUCUUGAGUACAGUAGAGGUAGGCGGAAUUCGUGGUGUAGCGGUGAAAUGCUUAGAUAUCACGAAGAACUCCGAUUGCGAAGGCAGCCUGCUGGACUGCAACUGACGUUGAUGCUCGAAAGUGUGGGUAUCAAACAGGAUUAGAUACCCCAGUAGUC